rnacentral:rRNA from 1 species
AUGAACGCUGGCGGCGUGCUUAACACAUGCAAGUCGAACGAUUAAAGCUCACUUCGGUGAGUGUAUAGAGUGGCGAACGGGUGAGUAACACGUGGGAAACCUGCCCCUUUCUUCGGGAUAACUUCGGGAAACCGUUGCUAAUACCGGAUACUCCGGGAUGGUCGCAUGGCCGACCCGGGAAAGCUUUAUGUGGAAAGGGAUGGUCCCGCGGCCCAUUAGCUUGUUGGUGGGGUAAUGGCCUACCAAGGCAAUGAU